UCUCCAUUGAAAAACUCUUCUAUUUCUUCAACUUCUUCUUCUUGAGCCUCACUUAAGCUAAUUUUUUGCUCUUCUUUGUAGCCAUCAUUAAUCAUAGGAUCACUGUCACGGACACAAAAUACAGACUUGAAAUCUAACAAGAAGUUCAAGAAGAAGUGGCAGAACUAGAUCAAACAGAUGAGUACAAGAACAACACCAGAAAGGUGAGCUAGAACUCCAAGAGAUGUGU
rnacentral:lncRNA from 1 species